GACGAACGCUGGCGGCGUGCCUAAUACAUGCAAGUAGAACGCUGAAGAGAGGAGCUUGCUCUUCUUGGCUGAGUUGCGAACGGGUGAGUAACGCGUAGGUAACCUGCCUUGUAGCGGGGGAUAACUAUUGGAAACGAUAGCUAAUACCGCAUAACAAUGGAUGACACAUGUCAUUUAUUUGAAAGGGGCAAUUGCUCCACUACAAGAUGGACCUGCGUUGUAUUAGCUAGUAGGUGAGGUAAUGGCUCACCUAGGCGACGAUACAUAGCCGACCUGAGAGGGUGAUCGGCCACACUGGGACUGAGACACGGCCCAGACUCCUACGGGAGGCAGCAGUAGGGAAUCUUCGGCAAUGGGGGCAACCCUGACCGAGCAACGCCGCGUGAGUGAAGAAGGUUUUCGGAUCGUAAAGCUCUGUUGUAAGUCAAGAACGGGUGUGAGAGUGGAAAGUUCACACUGUGACGGUAGCUUACCAGAAAGGGACGGCUAACUACGU
rnacentral:rRNA from 1 species